CCUACGGGUGGCAGCAGUGAGGAAUAUUGGUCAAUGGACGCAAGUCUGAACCAGCCAUGCCGCGUGCAUGAAGACGGCUCUAUGAGUUGUAAACUGCUUUUGUACGAGGGUACACGCAGAUACGCAUAUCUGUCUGACAUUAUCGUACGAAUAACGAUCGGCUAACUCAGUGCAAGCAGCCGCGGUAAGGCGGAGGAUUCAAGCGUUAUCCGGAUUUAUUGGGUGUAAAGGGUGCGUAGGCGGUUGGAUAAGUUAGAGGUGAAAGCCCGAGGCUCAACUUCGGAAUGGCCUUGGAUACUGUGCGGCUAGAGAGCAGUUGCGGUAGGUGGAAUGUAAGGUGUAGCGGUGAAAUGCGCAGAGAUCAUACAGAACACCGAGUGCGAAGGCAGCUUUCCAGUCUACUUCCGACGUUGAGGCACGAAAGCGUGGGGAGCAAACAGGAUUAGAUACCCCAGUAGUC
rnacentral:rRNA from 1 species